GGCUGGGGCUGAGGGUCCGGCCCGACCCCGGGGGACACGUCCGUGAUCUUCUGAUCCCUCAACUCCGCUGGGGCUGCUCCUCAAGGGCUUUGCAAGCGGAGGGGGUUAACCCUGAGGGCGACUCGGAGAGGCCCGAGCAGCAGUUUAGGCUUCAGGGCGGCGGCUGUCACUGCCCCUGAGGAAAAGGUGGAAGGAGGGGGGGCACGAAGGUGGUAAAGAUGUCAUACGGCCAUUACAGGGGUGGACACAUCACCACCAAACCCCACAACCCCGAGUUUGGUAGACUUGGGGGGGUUCUGACACUGAUCACCCCAGGCAGAGCUGGGGACCGGUGCCACGCAGCCCCCUCGCCUCACAUCCGAAAGGAGAAGCGGCCCCAGAGAAACCACAGCCCCCCCCGAGGGAAACAGCUAAAAGAUGAGAGCAGGAGAUGUGCUCAAAGUCUCACAACCUUCUGGGCUCCUUGUAGUCAGUUCAUCCUGUCGAAGCAAUGGAUUUACUUCCCUGCGUUCCUGUUGCCCCACAGAAAAUGCAGCAGUAGCUGCUGCCAUGGCCCCUGCCUGGGAACAGAUGGGGGGUGGAAUUCUCCUGCCAGAGGACCCGACCCCCAGCUGCCAUUUCCCUUUCUCCUGUGGUGGAUCUCCGCGUCGUACCAAAACCCUCUCUCUUUUGGUUCAUCAGGAUUAUAGUUGACCAUCACCACCUGUCCUACCUCCAGCUGGUGCCACUUCAAAAUAGUCCUUGCACGAGCCCGUACAUCAUUUGAACUCAACUGUACAACUCCAUUCUCUGGAUAACUUGGAGCAGGAAGGAGGCAUGGUGGGACAGAGAAGAAAAUCAGAGUCACCAUCACAAGUUGUUAGGAUUUGAUCCAACGAGGCAACUGAAGGCAGGAAUGAAAUCUCCCUCUCCCAGUCACAGUCAGAAUUAACUUUACUUCCCUCAUAUCUCAUUUAAAACUUGGGUUAGGAGCAUUUCAUAUUUCUAAAACCAUGGUUCCAGCCCCCUGGAAUUCUAGUGGGAACUGUAAGAAAAACUUACAGUUAACAGGGCUCAAGAAUCUUAUUACUGAGUCAGCCCAGUUCAGUUUUGCCUUGUGGAUCAAUACAAUAAAACCUCCUGUCAACAUCAUGAUCCAAAAGACUUUAUUAGCCAAGAAGGUAACAAAACUCACUCUUCAUAUUUCACAUGAUAUAUUACAUCUUCUUCAGGAACAGCUGUUGGCUUAUCAGGAUCUGUGCAACUCUCAGCUGAUUCUUUUGCAGGUUUUCUUCUGGUCACAUUUACAACCUGGGCUUCAAACCAUGCCCCCAUAUUUGUAUCUCGAGCAUCAAUCAAAUCAUUGAUCUAAAAAAAAUAAAUAAAUAAAAAUAUUGAUCUUUGGAAGCAAAGCAUACAACUCACCCAAAUGGGUUUUCAAAUUAAGAAUUCAUUUCCAAGCCUACUUGAAGAUUUUAUCACCUCAAGAACUUCAAUAUCAAGCUCUCUGACAGGUUAUCUUAAAAAUGCAGAUUUUCUUUGUCUUCCUGAUACCCUUUUCAGGGCUUCUGAUCCCCUACAGUCUUCUCAGGUUGAACCUCUAAGGUUAAAAAUCCACUCUGCACCACCAUCUGUACAAGUAUCUUCCUUCCCAAGUACAAACCAUUGCUGGUUGGUCUAUAACAGACUUCUAGAACUGCCUUGUUCAUAACAUGGCAAAGACAUCACCAGAUCUAUAACAACAUCCACUGAAACAGAAAAGUAACACGAUUCUGGUUGAGAUUCUUUUAUUCAUUCAAGAAAGUUCCAGCUUUGCCAAAUG